GCUAAGAAUAUUCCGCAAUGGACGAAAGUCUGACGGAGCGACGCCGCGUGGAUGAAGAAGGCCGAAAGGUUGUAAAAUCCUUUUGCUGAUGAAGAAUAAGUGCGGGAGGGAAUGCCCGUAUGAUGACAUUAGUCGGUGAAUAAGCCCCGGCUAACUACGUGCCAGCAGCCGCGGUAACACGUAGGGGGCAAGCGUUGUUCGGAAUUAUUGGGCGUAAAGGGCAUGUAGGCGGUUUCGUAAGCCUGGUGUGAAAUCCUGCAGCUUAACUGUAGAAUUGCAUCGGGUACUGCGAGACUUGAAUCACAGAGGGGAAACUAGAAUUCCAGGUGUAGGGGUGGAAUCUGUAGAUAUCUGGAAGAAUACCGGUGGCGAAGGCGGGUUUCUAGCUGAUGAUUGACGCUGAGGUGCGAAAGUGCGGGGAGCAAACAGGAUUAGAAACCCUAGUAGUCC
rnacentral:rRNA from 2 species